UUACGUCUUCGGGGCGGGGUGCGAUUCCCCACCGGCGGUAUGAGCCUGCAAGGGCUCGAGCCCGCGAGCGCCUGCGCAAGCAGGGUCAGCAGACCUGGUGAGAAGCCAGGGCCGACGGUAUAGUCCGGAUGAAAGAAGAUGUGC
rnacentral:ncRNA from 2 species